rnacentral:lncRNA from 1 species
GGAGGGAAGAACAGCCUGAAGAUUGACCUCCAAUCGGGAUCAUCAAUACCAUCUCUAGAGGACCCCGGUGGGGAGCAGCCAGUGGAUCGGUCGGACCGUCCAAGCGGCAAAGGACUGAAGAAUCUAUAACGCAAAGGAAACUUGGGCAGACGAGCUUUAUCAUGUGUUAUGGGCAUACCGAACUAUCUAAAGACUACCCACG